ACUAUUUUGGCAGAAAAGUGUAGUAAAUUUAGAAUUUACUUAUAUAGAAUAUUCUAUAGGUAGUA
rnacentral:tRNA from 1 species